GUGCAGGGAAGGCGGUGGGUAAGAGUCCCCACUCCCGUAAAGCUUCGGCCUGGGGGCGGGAGAGGGGAGGCAGUGAAGGGGGAUGCUGUGUAGGAAAGGAAGCUGAGUGGGGUGGGGAGUGAGGGUACUGUUUUCUGUCCGGUGAUCUGGGAAGGCCUCCCUGAUAAGGUGACUAACAGAUCUGAAGGACAUGAGGGAGAGAGCCAUGCUGGUGUCUGGAGGGUGGAGGCACCAGCGGGCGCAGGGGGCGGCAGGAGCUUGUCAUGUUGAGGGACGGCACCGAGGCCAGAAUGGGCGGCCGGGGGGAGUGUGGUAGGAGGUGAGGGCGACACUUUGGACUGGAAGCAAAGGAAUGACAGAAUGACAUGAUGUAGCUUGGGUUGCACUUGUUUAUUUUCAUAUUUGCUUUCUAAAAAAACAAAUGGGUAAUGUUUGCACAUGAUUCAAAAAUUAAAAUGUAUAAAAAGACUCUGGUGAACUCCAGUUCUCACCCCUUAAGUUCCUGUACCUCAAGCAUGCCUUUUUUAUAUUUUACCACUUCACUAGUUUAGGGGUGUCCUUCCAAAGUUUCUUUAUAUAAAUAGAAGCAAAUAGAAAUAUAUGUAUCUUACUUUUCCCUCUUUGUUGUACCAAAGGUAUAACAUAUUGUUCAGCACCCUGUAUUUCUCAUAUAAUAUAUCUUGGAGUCCUUUCCAUAACAAUACUCAGAUGCCUUUUUUUACACUGAUGCACAGUAUUCAUCAUGUGGAUAAAGAUGUAUGGUAACUUAUUUAGCCAGUCCCAAAUUGAUGGACACUUAGGUUACCUCCAGCCAUUAUUAUGAACUGUGCUGCAGUGAACAAUCUUAUGAUUUAUUAUUCUGUACAAUUUAGGGUAGUUGUAAUUACAUCAGUCAGCAGAGAUGGGGUUCUUGAGUCAAGGAUAAACAUCUUACCAAGUUACCGCCCAUAGGAAUGGUAUGAAAAUGCCUGUGUCUUCAGUCUUAACAACGUGUGGUUAAAUUUUUGGAUUUUGUGACUCUUCUGGGUGAAACGGUAUUUUAAUAGUUUCACUUUCCUUGAUAUGAAUGAAGUUGAGCAUCUUCUGAUUUGUUUUAAAACGGUCACUUGGGAUGCUGUGCUGACAGGAGACGGUGAGGAGGGGAUGUGAGAAGCUCAGAGUUUAGCUGAAAUGCUGUUGCCCCGGAGCACUGCAGCAUUUACCAGUUGGAGAACUGAGGAGAAGCCAGCAAAGGAGUCUAAGAAGUGGCCAGUGAGGUACAGCUGAACCGCGGUGCAGACACAUUGCAGUCAGGCCCUCAUUGGUACCCUGGACGCUGAUUUCCCCGCGUGUCUUCCACCCACACCUGCGACGAGUAACUUCACCUGUUGUUAAUUUAAGAUGUUUCAUAGCAACCUGUGGAGCGCCUGCAUUU